GACCUCGUAGCUCAGUGGUAGAGCGUGAGAUUCCAGCAUUAUUGCUUCCUCAAGGUCAUCCGUUCAAUCCGGGUCGGGGUCA